CCGAGAGUAAUUGCUGGCUACUUCAUGGAUGCCGUGAUUCAACAAGACAAUGAACCAGAAAGAGAGCACAUCAUAUUUGGAGCAAGUACAGGAAAUCAACGCAUUGAAAGAUGGUGGCUAAUCUUACGAAGCCAGUGUAUCCAGUACUGGAUUGAACUAUUUGACAAACUAAGAGAGGAUGGCCACUUCUCAGACUCUUUCUUGGACAAAUCAUUGGUCCAGUUCUGUUUUCUUCACAUUAUACAGGAAGAAUUAAAUGAAGUUGCUUUGGCCUGGAAUGACCACAGAAUGCGCCCAGUCCACAACUCCCGAAGUCCUCACGGCCGACCAUCUUUUAUGUAUGCCCUCCCAGACAUUUAUGGCGCGAGGGACUGU